GCCUGAUUUUAAAUUCUGCUAGUUGUACUCAGCACAUCCAUAAAAAUAAGCAGAGUUCUCUUUUUAAGGGGGCCACUGUUAAUUAGCCACGGCACCCAUUCAAGCACUUCAUCUAGUAAUAACGUGGUUAUGCCAUGCUGGGGAAGAGCGUAUGGUUCCACAUAUCCUUUUUAUGCCUACUCCUGUCAUGCUGAAAUUGGCUCCUUCACUCCGUAACUGUGCUUUAUGUAGGAGCUGAACAGGAAUAGCGUUGCUUGUGUUUAUACUUGCUGCCCUCCCCUGGAAGGCCAAUUCUUCCUUGUUCCUCCUUCCGGAGGUCAGUGCUCAAUCCUGAUUGGAGUAGACAUCCGAGUCCAUUUCCAUGAGCUGCGUGUUCUGUUUCUCUUUCUCUUUCCCCAUUAAGUGAUGCCCAGGAGUGCUUUCUGUGUCCUCUGUGUAACCCCUGUUGGCUUGCACUGAGUUCUUCAUGCAUCUGGGUGAAUAGCAGGAGUCUUGCUGCCCACCUUCCCAAGAAGAGGCUUCCAUUCUCCUCUCAUUCCCCCAUGACAGGCUUUUCCUGCCCAAGGAGGGGUUUAGACUGUGAUUCAGAAAGUCUCCUGCAUGCCACCAUGUACAAAGGCAGGCUCAGAGUGGAGAAGAGUCUUGUCUGAAGUCACCAAGUGCGUAAGCGGCAAUCACAGAACCAGAAACCAGGACUCCUCCUGCUCAUCAUGCCACCUUGCAGCUUCCUGGAGCUCCAGAUGCCUGGACCCUGAAAUGGUGUCACAGACUUCUGCUUGUGAUUUGCGGCUGAGACUUGGAGCUCCAGCUUUGGCUUCCAGAAUCUCUGAAUUGACAGAACUGGAAACCAGAAGACUGUGGAACAAUAUUUACCAACACUGAAAGAAAAGGGUUAUGAUCUAAGAAUUCUAUACCCAGUCAAGGUAGUGAUUAUCUCUCAGAGAAUUUUUGGACAUACAAAGCACCAGUGAAUAUGCUACUCACAUUCCACAUGCAAGGUCAAAAAUUGGAAAGGACGGUAAAGAUGACUGUAGCCCCCCCAUUAAUCAUACUGAUUUUUCCCUUUGUGAGUGUGUGUGUUCCCGUGUGAUAAGGACAGGGCAUCCUAAGAGUAGGGAAUGGAGAGAAUGUCAGGAAGUCUGUUAAACCGCUAGGUGGGCUCAGAAGGUUUUGAUGCUUAUUUGCAUUUAGAAAUAUUUACUGAAGAACUGAGUUGAUUAUAACAAACAUAAUCUCAGGCUUGUGUGAGGGGGCCACAGACAAACAAAUUUGGUUGUAGUGGAAUUUCCCAGUGGGAGAAACAAGACAUAGUGCUGGAACACCAGACGUUCCUUCCUGCGCACUUCCCCCCUAAGGUUGCCAGGCGUAGCAAAUCAAAAUACAGGAUACCCAGUUAAAAAUUGGAAAUGGGAGAAAAUUUUUGCAAUCUACCCAUCUGACAAAGGGCUAAUAUCCAGAAUCUACAAAGAACUCAAACAAAUUUACAAGAAAAAACCAAACAACCCCAUCAAAAAGUGAGCAAACGAUGUGAACAGACACUUUUCAAAAGAAGACAUUUAUGCAGCCACCAGACACAUGAAAAAAUGCUCAUCAUCACUGGUCAUCAGAGAAAUGCAAAUCAAAACCACAGUGAGAUACCAUCUCACACUAGUUAGAAUGGUGAUCAUUAAAAAGGCAGGAAACAACAGAUGCUGGAGGAUGUGGAGAAAUAGGAAUGCUUUUACACUGUUGGUGGGACUGUAAACAUUGUGGAAGACAGUGUGGCGAUUCCUCAAGGAUCUAGAACUAGAAAUACCAUUUGACCCAGUGAUCCCAUUACUGGGUAUGUACCCAAAGGAUUGUAAAUCAUACUACUAUAAAGACACAUGCACAUGUAUGUUUGCUGUGGCACUAUUCACAAUAGUAAAGACUUGGAACCAACCUAAAUGUCCAUCAAUGAUAGACCGGAUUAAGAAAAUGUGGUACAUAUAUACCAUGGAAUACUAUGCAGCCAUAAAAACGGAUGAGUUCAUGUCCUUUGGAGCGACAUGGAUGAAGCUGGAACCAUCAUUCUGAGCAAACUAUCACAAGGACAGAAAACCAAACACCGCAUGUUCUCACUCACAGGUGGGAAUUGAACAAUGAGACCACUUGGAGACAGGACGGGGAACAUAACACAUGGGGGCCUGUCUUGAGGAGGGGCAAGGGAAGGGAUAGCAUUAGGAGAAAUACCUAAUGUAAAUGACGAGCUAUUGGGUGCAGCACACCAACAUGGCACAUGUAUACAUAUGUAACAAACCUGCACGUUGUGCACAUGUACCCUAGAACUUAAAGUAUAAUAAUAAAAAAAAAUUGGAAUUUGAGGUAAACAAAAAAGUGUGUGUGUGUGUGUGUGUGUGUGUGUGUGUGUAUUACUAAUUAGUGCAUAAGCAUCCUAUAUUUUACCUGGCAACUUUAUUUUCACCUCAACCUGGAGCCACAGAGAACUAACUACAGUUCUUGGGGCGCUUGGGAUGUCAGCUAUAGAUAGAUUCUUAAUACUGCAGUUUCAAUGGGAAGGGAAAAAAAGAAAGCUUGAAGUGAAAGAUGGGGUCAGGGCCAGUGUGGGAACCAGAGGAAUGGUUUCUGAGCACCAGCUUGUCUUUCUCCCAUUUUAAAACAGAUUUGAAUUUGUACUUGCCUUUGUGGCAUUUAAAAUCUAAUUAUAAAGAUUGUGUGUGUGUUUGACGAUAAAGAACUAAGUUUCAUUGAGCAUUUAUCACAUAUCAGCCACUAUGCUAAGCACUUUAGCUCAUUUAUUCUUCAUAAUAAAGAUCCCCAUUUUAUAGAUGGGGAAAUUAAAGUGCAGAGAGUUUAAAUAACUUGCUUAAGGUCACACAGCCAGCAAGUGGCAGAGCCAGGACUUGAACCCAGGUUUGCCUGACCCUGGGAGCUGCACUUUUGCCCUCUCUGCCAUCCUACUCCACAAGCAAGUACAGCAAGCAAAAAAUAAAAACCAGGCAUGGUGCUUGCUGAUCCUGUUUGCAGGUUUCAGGGUGGUCAGGGUGGAAGAGAUUGACCAGGGAAGUCUUCUUGGAAAAAGAGAUCCAAAACUGGGUUCUCUCCAGUGGAUCUGAAUUUGGUUUGGGGAAAGGAGUGAGCAGUGAGAAUGUCAACCGGGACUAGUGGAAGGAGGGACCAGGUUGGGUGGUCAGUGAGGGUGGGGUUGGAUGGGUCGUGAGGCAAUGCCCCAACACGUCAGAGGAGACAGGAGGAGUUGAGUUGGCCUAGCAGAGACAGUAUUUGUGUCUAGUGUGGUACACAUAGGGACCAGGAGAGAGGUUCACCAUAGGCUGAAGAGGAGGGCACAUGAGUGGUGGGGGUGGGGGUGGAGUGGGCAGGUUGGAGCCAUGUUAAGGAGGUAUGUAGACAAGGCUUAGAGAUGGAACUCGAUGCAAUGUGGGGAAAGGCAGAUGGGAGGAUGACCACAGUGUCCCCGGCAGUACCUCCAAGGGGAGGGAACCUGGUAUACUGGCUUCGGUGGGGGCAAAAGGAAAGAGUCUUGCUGGCUACAGGGGGAACCUUGUUUCUGGGGUAAGUUGCUAUCCCCAGGAAAGGAGGGAACCAAUGGUGUCUCUUCCAGUGCAGGACACAGGCAGGUGGCCCUGAUUAGAAACAGGUCUGCACACCAGCCUCGGGAGUGUGCUUACAGCAGUGACAGGUAGCAACAAGGGGGUCUGUGUGCCUCACCAGCAGCCUGUGAGCAGAUCUUCCAGAGGGGCUUAUCCACCCCCAGGGUGGUGCAGAGCCCAUGCAGAGACCUAACACAGUGAAGUGCAGGCUUAGGGCUGGCUGCUUUUGACAACAGUGCAUUUAACUUUAUGCCUCUCAGGCGGUGCCUACCCCCCAUGCUGGCUUUACAUAAAAGCCACACAUCCUUCUAGAUCACCCAGGACUAUGGGCCAGGUGCUGUCCCCAACACUGAUUGUGGGCAAGCCAAGCUAUUGCCAUGCAGGGCUGCUGAAAUAAAAUGUGUGACUGUGUUCCAAGACACCUUAAUUGUUUAUUAAUUACUCCAUAAAUCAUAGUGACACCUGUGUUUGUGCUCCUGUUAAUUCGCUCUCACAUGGUGGGGGAUGGAAGUACAACAUACUUUCUUGAGAAGUGCAUGGGCCAAAGAAUAACUGGGUCUUGGCUGUGGGACGGAAGUACCUGAAUUGGGAGGGGGACACCAGGGCUUCUCCUUCAUUAGUCAGCCCCAACUGCAUUCGUGUCCACCCCUGGCCAAGACCACGGCUGGAGCCUUGACAGGGUAUGGGUAGGGUGAGGUGCUCUACCUCCUCCAUUUGAUUUCAUCUUCCCAGAAGCUGGUAAAGAGAGGAGUUGUAUUCAUUUUAUAAGGGAGAAAACAAGGCUCAGAGAUUUCAUGCAAGUCCCAAGGUCACACAACCAAUUAAAUGCAGACUUUGAACAUGAAUUUGCUUGACUUCAAAUGAUGUAACCCUCAUGGAAGAGGCAGCCUGGGGAGGAGGGAGCUUUCCUGUUAAUCCCUGAUACCUCAUAUGUAUCUUUCAGAUUUGUCCAUGGGAAGGCAAUCUGUUUAAAUGUUAAUAUCCCUCAUAUGUCUUAAGGAUCAUAUCUAAAAGGGAAACAGAAUUCAUGCAGAGUGCUUUAGCUGGGUGCCAGCGCUGGAGUCCCCCUCUAACUGACCUCCAUUCCAGACAGUCAGCUGUCCCC
ensembl:lncRNA